UCCUUCAUGGCGCAAUUGGCUAGCGCGUCUGACUGUUAAUCAGGAGGUUGGUGGUUCGAGCCCACCUGAAGGAG
rfam:Diaporthe ampelina DA_912_scaffold_v01_324, whole genome shotgun sequence.